rnacentral:piRNA from 1 species
UGGAAAAUGUUGCCAAGUUGAAUAGUUGUU